AUCCCCUUUUGCACCAAUCUUCUUUGUCUCAAAAUCCCAUAAACCACUUCUAUCACUGCCCUUUUCAUCACUUUUUACCUCGAAAUAUAUUCUACCUCGAAAUAUACUAACUCCUCCUGAACUGUAUUCAUAUUUGCACUUUAUUUCUUGAAUUCAUUAAAUAUGCCCUUUACCCUCCUUUUAGGACAAAAAUGCUCUUUCUAUAUUAGUAUGCUUUUCUGGUUUGAGGGAUGCAUAUAUAAUAUCUCUAAGUUCGAAUUAUUUCAUUGAUGCUACAAAGAAGGGAAACCUUGCCAGGUUUAUAAAUCAUUCAUGCCUACCUAAUUGUGAGACAAGGAAAUGGACUGUACUGGGGGAAACACGGGUUGGGGUAUUUGCAAAGGUAGGUAUAUCUACCGGAACAGAGCUAUCAUGCAAUUACGACUUUGAGUGGUAUGGUGGUGCGACUGUUAACUCUCUGUGCGGGGCUCCUAACUGUUGUCUAUUUCUCGGUGCAGAUUCUCAGUGUUUCCAGGAACAUAACCAUGUAUGGGAAGAGGGAGAUGACAGGUAAUUGUUUUCUCUAUUUGCUGUAUUUGCUUUCUGCUUGACAAGUUACCUUUGCCUUCUCAUAGCCAUUGGAUUUGAUAUUGUUAACUAACUGAUGUGCGCUUGCUAAGGGAGAUUUGAACAUUGGUUACUGGACAAAGAGGAGAUGAGCAUAUUGGCUGCUGCAUCUUUUCGGACUGUUAAAUUAUGAAGCAUUACUGCUUUUGCCAAUCCAUUAAAGUACGUAGAAUACCAAACUCUACCUGCCCAAAAGUAUUUAAGUUGGGUUCCUAAGCUACUUGAGAAAUUGACAGGGAAAAUGCUUGAUUGUUUAUUCGUAAGGGGCUGUUUCUCUAUGCUUUGUGUUUCUUAUUAUUAUGAAUUUUACAGACAAAGAAAAGGAAACAGUUUUGGUUUAACA